GUGAGAGAGGGCGCCAGUGCCCCUGUGAGUCAAUGCGCGCUUGCGGGGGUGGUGGGUGACGCGGUGCCGAGCAUCGGUUCGGGAAAGCCAGGCUCCCGCCCUGGGAUGAUGCUCUUCGGGCUCCCGGGCUGCUCGAAUAACACUCCGGCGGCGCUGCCCCUGCGCCCCGAGAGACCGGGGCCACCCCGUUAUUCCUCAGGUCCCUUCACCCCAGGGGCUCCGCCACCGCGGGGGCGGGUCACAGCUCGUGCAGAGCAGUCUGGAGGCUCUACACGGAGGGCCUCCCGCCUCCUCCACAGAAACAAUACCCGGACUUGGGGGCACAGCCCGGGAACCAGGCGCUGCCGGAGAGGAGGGCGCGGAGCCGGGGAGACCGCUCCUCUCCCUCCGCACCCUCGCUGGUGCAGGCGGGUCCAACUGCCGCCGCCGCCCGGGCCGGCAGGGGGCGCUGCGCCGCCGUUCCCCGCGCGCCCGGGGACCAGAGGUGACCUCUGGUUCUUCCUCAGAGGUGGCUUGCCAAAGGCUUUUCGAAAUCCUGCUGGUAAGUAAGCAAAUCGGCUUCAAAUAAAGAGCGCCUACUGUGAGCUCUUCGUUACGACGGUGGUUAGAUGGGCGGAAGGCGGGGUGCCUGCUUCUCUGCUGGGCUGCUGCGGGGCGAGAGGUGGGGGUGUCCAGGUCAACUCUGGGCUACAUCGCUGGGUAGUUUUAAGUUUUCUUCGUAACUUCAUUUUUUGGACUUUCUAUUACCGGAGUCUUCCUUACGGACUGAGAACGGGCUACAGUGAGGGAACAUGAAUCUGACGUGGACCCCCCUCCCCUUCCUCCUGGAGCAAACGUCUUCACCCCAAGCCUGCCUCUCUCCACACAGCAGACAGACAACCCCAAGUCACGGGUCCCUGGAGGACACCACCGAUCCUGGGAUGUGACCAUGAGGUGACCGUGGCUGAUGCAUGGGGUCAAUGUAAUCAGAUCAAGGAUGUGGCACCAAAGCGGAUUUCUGCAGCAUUCCACCCCUGCCCUCCACCACCAGCUGCUCCAGGCACAAGCGCCACAAAGCUGCUCACGAUGUCACUGGCCCUGCCUGCUUUGCCAGUGCGGGAACCAGACUCCUGCACUGCUCCUACGUAACAAGGACUUCAGGCUGUGAGAUGGGGGUGCCUGUUCCCGGGGCUGGCUAGACUCCUCCUGGACCUGACACAGAAGCUGACAGACUUGCACGCCAUGCCUCCAGAUCUUUGAGGCCCUGGCCAAAGACUUGCCUGUGAACGCUUCUUCCCCUGCAGAGGGAUCUGGUACCCAAUCACGCACCAUCCUGCAUCUCUCUCUCGGCCUCUCCCCCCCGCCCCACUCCACCCGACAUGCCUGCCACGGUGACGGUGACACUUUGUUUGGUGCAAGACAUGAUGGGGAUGGAGGAGUUGGGGAGAGAGCACGUUAUGGGGAUCUGUGGAAAAGCCUGGCUUCCACCCAGCGGCUAUACAAGCCGGGCUGGCUGGGUCGAUGUGCUCACAGGCUGCUCUCAUAGGAAUCCCCGAAGGCAUUUAAGAAACAAAACAGAGGACCAAGGGGCAGGGAGGGAAAAAUAAAACAAGAGGAAACCAGAGAGGGAGACAAACCAUAAGAGACCCUUAAGCAUAGGAAACAAACUGAGGGCUGCUGGAGGCGAGGGUGGCGGGGAAGGGGUAAGUGGGGAUGGAAUGAGCGCUGGGUGUUAGAUAAGACUGAUGAAAUCACUGAACUCUACCUCUGAAACGAAUAACACACUGUAUGUUAAUUAAUUGAAUUUAAAUUAAUUUCAAAAAAUAAAGAGAGGACUCUGGAUGGUGCUGGGCCUGCACAGCUCCCAGUCCUUCUGGCUGGCGGGGGUCCUUCUGGCCGGCCUUCCUUCGGCUCCCUUCUCCGCAGCAGGCUCGCGCCGGGAUGAUUAGGGAUGACAGCCAACGGGAAAACCCACUGCCUUUACAGAAGCACAUCCCUGAGCGGGCACAGCACCGAAGGAGCCACUUCCUGAAGGAGACAAGGCGGAGUCAGGACUCAGGCGGGUGCCCGCUGUCGCCUCCUUGGCCCGCAGGGGGCGCUGUGCCCCCUGAAUCCGCUGGCCAAGUGGAGACCAGAACUUUUUCCUGGGCUCCCCUUGAGAUCUGGGGACAUGGGGGCGCCUGGGUGGUUCAGUCAGUUAAGGGUCUGCAUUAGGCUCAGAUUAUGAUCCCGGGGUCCUGGGAUGGGGCCCCCAUCGAGCCCCUCAUGGAGACCCACAUCUAGCCGGGCAUUGGGCUCCCUGCUCAGUGGGGAGCCUGCUUCUCCCUCUCCCUUUGCUAUUCCCCCUGCUCCUACUCUCUGUCUCUCUUUCAAAUACAUGGAUAAAUAAAAUCUUAGAAAAAAAAGAAAAAAAGAUCUCGGGACAUGGGUUUGGAAGUGUCCUGGUUACCGGCACAGGGCUGGAGGGUAAUAGCUGAGAAAGCAGACGAUUCAACCAGUGUAAUUACAGCCUCUCUUUCAGAUUACAGAUUUCUGAGUUUCGCCAUAACGUUCGUGCUGUUCAGCUGCUCUUAGUAUCGAACUGACCACCUUCGGAUUUGCAUUCCAGCACGCAGGUAGGAAGAAAAGGAAGUAGGAUAUCUCCGAGCGCAUACUUACGCUGUCAGCUUGACAGUUCGGCUGUACUGGAAAAGAGUUGAUUUCAUCUUGUAACCCAUUAUACACACGACCCACAUUUUAUUUUAAGUGCGCUCCAUGAGCAACGGCCCAGCAUGCUUUACCCGCUGAGCCAGCCUGGUGCCCCCACACAAGCCAUUUCCGGAGGAGGUUUUUCUACUCACAAGGCAGCAUCCAUAUGUGACUUCUUUCUUUACCCUGUGGCUCCACCGAAAAGGAGUGGAGGCUCUGAAGCAAGGAAACUCGACUCCAGGGCAUGGACUGACUGGCCAGGUGACCAUGGACUAAACUGGUGUGGACAGUUUACCGUCCUGGAAUAAUGGUGACAAAACUGGAUACUCUGACUUUCAUUUCCCCCACGAUGCCAGGAGCUGUAGUUUAUUGUCUUCCUUUGUGACCCUUAGCUUGCUCUAAAAGUGCUUUCUAGAAAUCUUUAAUGGGCCCUUGCGGUAAGUCCUGUUGGCGCCAAGGAUUUUUUGUAGACUCCCAUUUUCAGGAUGGGAAGAUUCCCUUCCCUUCUGUCCUGGUCUCCACCCGUGAAUGGAUUGUGCCUUUUAUUGGCUAAUUUUUCUGCAUCUAAUGAUACAGUCAUGUGGUAUUUCUCUCCUAAUCGGUUAAUGGUGUGGGAUUGUAUAAAAUUUCUGAACAGAAGCGACUCCAUUUUGAAGCUGCAUUUUCCUUUUCAACUAAUGAACUCUUGAGCUGGGCCAGAAAUGCAGUAGUUUUACAAGCAGUUGGUCAUAAAAUUUCAACAGGGCAACUGGCAUUAGGAUCUCGUGAGGACAGUAAAGUUAAUUAAUACAUACCAGGGGCAAUUUCAUUUGAUAGCACCAAUAAAGUAAUCAAUAAGGUACUAAUGAGAAGCGGCUCAACCGAUUAGCACCAAAUUAUCAGGGUUUUUUAAUUUUUUCCUUCUCUUCUUUAUCUAAAUCACAUAAUUACCCCUUCCUUCUUUUUCAUAAAAACCUCUAGCUCUCCCCACAUGAAGGGACACUUUUCUGGUUAUUCUGGAGUCUGUGCUCCCCGAAUUGUAACUCUGGGACCCCAAAUAAAAACCUUUGUUCUUUUUUCAGUUUCGCCUUCUUUUUUUUUUUUUUUAAGAUUUAUUUAUUUAUUUAUUUAUUCAACAGAG